UAUUUUUAGUGAGGGGUGGCUAAAAUAGAAGGGAGCCGAAAUAUGAUUUACCCCAAGCAAAAACAAGUAUACAGAAAUCUAGAAAUUAAAUUAAUUUUUAUUAAUCAGUUUGUGUGACGCCUAUGAAUAGAAUAGAUUAUUUUUCAUAUCACUGAGUUUGGUCAAUCGUAGAGAAGCAUGUAGUAAAUUGAAGUCCAUGUGAUUGAUGACAGUUUUUUGUUAUGGGCCCAGAUUUACGCCAACUGUGGGAGUUGAAUACGUGGACGUGACUUAAUCAAGUUUGUUUUGUGAACUGCUGUGUGUCUAUUCAGAAACCAGAGUAUCAAAGCAACUGGGGGCAUUGGAAAAGGCGAAUCACCUUACAGUUGAAGCAUCAAAAGGCUUUAGAUGGUAACUUGACAUAGGCUGCUGAUAGUUCCAAUAAGGAUGAAUUCGAAACCAAGGUCUCGCUUGUUAAGCUCUUUUUGGUGAAUACGCUGAAUGCUAUCAAUGAGGAACUUACUUCUACUUAAUGCGGCAAUGAGUUCAACAAUGCCAGUGUUCAAAUGCUGAUGAAUGAGAAUGGAAUAAGCAUGCUAAAAACCACUUCAUAUACCCUUCAGCAAAAUGGGGCGUCGAAACGAGAAAUCCGCACGGUUAUUGAAGCUGCGCGGUCUAAGAUCAUAAUAUCUCGUGAUGUUAUUUUUAAAAGAGAAACUCCUUUGAUCAAAUUACACAAGUCUGCCAAUGUCGAGCCUGUGUUAGAACUCUCCGAAGGAAAUUCACAGCUUGACCCAGCAUUUCUGUUUCGGGAACUGGAGUUGAUCAGGCUGAAGCAGGGAAUGACGAGGGUACAUUGCCAAUCGAACAGUCACCUCAGCUUCGCAAAAGUGGCCGCACCAGGCAGUUGCCCUCAUACCUUGCUAAUAAGUAUGUGCUCAUUGCAUUGUGUUUUCACUGGCGGCCACUACCGUCCCGUUCCCGCCAGUAAGAACACUCUCAUUGAGAUCCCGAGGCAGCGAUCUUGAUUUGACUGUCUCUGACCGUAACCUAAUCUGACUGUGACCGUUGGUGUGAAUCCGCCUUAACUCAUUGAUAGAAAAUGAUACUUAGGAUCUCGUUAACUUACCCGAAGGCCAGAAGGUUGUUGGUAAUAGAUGGGUACUAGAAGUCAAACUCAAAGCGAAUAACGAUGUCGACAGAUAUAAAGCCCUUUUGGUUGCAAAGGGGUACACAAAGGGAAAAGAUAGCUGUGUGGCUGAGUAGGCUACUGAACGAAAUAACAAGCCUGUCUCGAUUAACAACGUUCCUUGUUGACAAUAUGACUACUAUAAGACUAAUCUGGAAUCCAGAGUUUCAUUGUCGGACUAAGUACAUUGAGAUGUGCUUCCACUUCAUAUGGGAAAAAGUCAUAAAUGAGCAAAUCAAGCUGGAGCACGUUUCAAGUCAUCAUCAACUUGCCGAUAUGCUCACGAAGAGUCUUUCUGCUCUUCCGUUCUGAAUUAAUAGUAAAUCUAUUGUAGCCUUGAGUUUGAGGGAAGCUGUUGGAGCCACCUGCCUUGUUCUUGGUCAAACACAACACAACAACAAUUGACUUACCUUUUGAAUAUUGAUUUCACGGAAACUUUUCUCAAAUUAAGGAUUUCCAGGAAACUGAAGAUUCUAGAAUGUGAUGGUUGAGUAUAUAAAAAGAGUCUUGAGCAGCCGGAUGGAUUGAGUAAGUAAUUUGAGGUCAAAAUGAACACAUCGAGAUGAUGACAAUUAAAAUGAAUUACGAAUUCAAAUAAAUGAAAUGUUGGAUAUUGGCUAAUAGUUAACAAAAUAAAUAGAUAAAUUUUU